rnacentral:pre_miRNA from 1 species
CAUAUACUCCCUCCGUCCGGAAAUACUUGUCAUCAAAAUGAAUAAAAGAGAAUGUAUCUAGAUGUAUUUUAGUUCUAGAUAUAUCCCUUUUUGUCCAUUUUGAUGACAAGUAUUUUCAGACGGAGGAAGUACUAC